rnacentral:tRNA from 1 species
AGGGAUAUAACUCAGCGGUAGAGUGUCAUCUUGACGUGGUAUGAGUUGUCAGUUCGAGCCUGAUUAUCCCUA